GAUGAACGCUGGCGGCGUGCCUAAUACAUGCAAGUAGAACGCUGAAGGAGGAGCUUGCUUCUCUGGAUGAGUUGCGAACGGGUGAGUAACGCGUAGGUAACCUGCCUGGUAGCGGGGGAUAACUAUUGGAAACGAUAGCUAAUACCGCAUAAGAGUAGAUGUUGCAUGACAUUUGCUUAAAAGGUGCAAUUGCCUCACUACCAGAUGGACCUGCGUUGUAUUAGCUAGUUGGUGGGGUAACGGCUCACCAAGGCGACGAUACAUAGCCGACCUGAGAGGGUGAUCGGCCACACUGGGACUGAGACACGGCCCAGACUCCUACGGGAGGCAGCAGUAGGGAAUCUUCGGCAAUGGACGGAAGUCUGACCGAGCAACGCCGCGUGAGGGAAGAAGGGUGUCGGAUCGUAAAGCUCUGUUGUAAGAGAAGAACGAGUGUGAGAGUGGAAAGUUCACACUGUGACGGUAUCUUAACAGAAAGGGACGGCUAACUACGUG
rnacentral:rRNA from 1 species